CUUUCUCCGCCGGCGACCGGCGCACGGGUGAGUAACACGUAUGCAACCUGCCCCUGUCAGGGGACAACCCGCCGAAAGGCGGGCUAAACCCGCGUACAUGCCACCGGGGCAUCCCGGAGGCAGGAAAGGCUUCGGCCGGACAGGGAUGGGCAUGCGGCGCAUUAGGCAGUAGGCGGGGUAACGGCCCACCUAACCGACGAUGCGUAGGGGUUCUGAGAGGAAGGUCCCCCACACUGGUACUGAGACACGGACCAGACUCCUACGGGAGGCAGCAG
rnacentral:rRNA from 1 species